GGGGAUGUAGCUCAGUGGUAGAGGGCUUCUCUAGCAUACACAAGGCCUUGAGUUCAAUCCUCAAUACCACCA
rnacentral:tRNA from 1 species